AAAGUCCUUCGGGGUCGGGUGAAAAUCCCAGCCGGCGGUGAUGAACAAUCGUUCUAAGCCCGCGACGGGGAAGAAGUGUCAAGCACUCUUCCUCCUGAUUUGGUGAGAGACCAAAGCCGACAGUUACAGUCUGGAUGGGAGAAGGAUGUG
rnacentral:ncRNA from 2 species